rnacentral:lncRNA from 1 species
AGAAUAUCACUUGACUUGGAUAUGAUUUGAAAUAGUAAAGUAAAUGGUGUAUGAUAGUCAAAUUAGAUAGCCUAAGUUGAGUCAUAAAUUAGUUGCACUUAUGGACAGCAAAAUUAAUAUUGAAAUGAAAUAAUGUUAAAUAAGAAAAUAUCCCAAUCAUUAUGUAAUAUUGUGUAACUAUUAAGUAAUUGUCCAAUACAUCAUCUCAGUCUUCAAUAGAGGUUGAAUAUUGUGUGUUAGCUGCUACCACUAUAAAAAUCAUC